GUAGGGAAUAUUGGGCAAUGGAUGCAAGUCUGACCCAGCCAUCCCGCGUGCCGGAAGAAGGCCCUCAGGGUUGUAAACGGCUUUUGACGGUGAAGAAUCGACAGGAUGCGUCCUGUUUUGACGGUAGCCGUUGAAUAAGCACGGGCUAAUCCGGUGCUGGCAGCCGCGGAAAUACAGAGGGUGCGUAGGCUGGAAGGUCAGUCAGCGGUGAAAAGCUGUCGCUUAACGAUAGUCUUGCCGCAGAUACUUCCUUUCUUGGAUGAGGAGGAGGCCACUGGAACGGAUGGUGUAGCGGUGAAAUGCAUAGAUAUCAUCCAGAACACCGAUUGCGAAGGCAGGUGGCUGUACCUUAAUCGACGCUGAUGCACGAAAGCAUGGGGAGCAAACAGGAUUAGAAACCCCUGUAGUCC
rnacentral:rRNA from 1 species